UCGGCCUCCCAAAGUGCUGGGAUUCGAGGUGUGAGCCACCGCGUCCGGCCCGUGGAUGUUUUUUAAAAAGGCUGAGUGGCCUCACUUGGGACCGAAAAGGUGAAGUCCACGCCCCCUGGUGCAUCAGCGAAGACAAGCGGAGCCACCUGUCAGAGGGCUGUGGGCGGGGGCCGGGGCCGUGAGGGCCUUGGAGCCGGAGGGUGAGCGCCGUUGAGCGCACGCUCAGAGCAGACCGCUCGCAGGAGGCAGGAUGUGAUAGUCUUAAGACCCUGGAAGCUGACUGCCAGAGGGAGAGAAAGGUGGUCACAGAGGAGAGGCAAAGCAACCGGAGGUAGAGGAUCCUGGAGGUGAUUGCUAGGAGAGUACACAGCGGCGAGGGGCUGCAGAAGCGGACCCGGCGACUUCUGCGCCGACGCGGGGCGGGCGGGAGAGAGGAGGAGAGGGCAGCGCAGUGGCGCUGCGGGCUGGCCCAGUCGGGGAGGGGCUGCCAUGUCCCGUGAGCGACCCCCCAGCACUGACAUCCCCCGCAACCUGAGCUUUAUUGCCGCGCUAACGGAGCGCGCCUACUACCGUAGCCAGCGGCCCAGCCUCGAGGAGGAGUCGGAGGAGGAGCCAGGCGAGGGAGGGACGCGGUUCGGGGCCCGAUCCCGCGCUCACGCACCGAGUCGGGGCCGCCGGGCCCGCUCUGCACCAGCCGGAGGCGGCGGGGCUCGGGCGCCCCGCAGCCGCAGCCCAAACACCCGCAAGAGAGUGCGUUUCGCCGACGCACUGGGGUUGGAGCUGGCCGCCGUGCGCCGCUUCCGUCCCGGGGAGCUGCCCCGGGUGCCCCGCCACGUGCAGAUCCAACUGCAGAGGGACGCCCUCCGCCACUUCGCGCCCUGCCAGCCCCGCGCCCGCGGCCUCCAGGAGGCGCGCGCCGCCCUGGAGCCGGCCAGCGAGCCCGGCUUCGCCGCCCGCUUGCAGGCGCAGCGCAUCUGCCUGGAACGCGCCGAGGCGGGCCCGCUGGGCGUGGCCGGGAGCGCGCGCGUGCUGGACCUGGCCUACGAGAAGCGCGUGAGCGUGCGCUGGAGCGCCGACGGCUGGCGGAGCCAACGCGAGGCCCCCGCCGCCUACGCCGGCCCGGCCCCGCCCCCGCCGCGCGCCGACCGCUUCGCCUUCCGUCUGCCCGCGCCACCGAUUGGGGGCGCUCUGCUCUUCGCCUUGCGCUACCGUGUGACAGGUCACGAGUUCUGGGACAACAACGGCGGCCGUGACUAUGCUCUUCGAGGGCCCGAGCACCCUGGCAGUGGCGGAGCCCCGGAGCCCCAGGGCUGGAUCCACUUUAUCUGACACGAGGCACCUGCGGCCUACGGCGGAAAACCCCAAAGGCACCCGGGGGCGGGGGGAGGAAUAGGAGAGACUAGGAUUGGCGGGGAGGACGAGGAGGGUGGGGAAAUCAGGGGCGUGGGGAGGUUGGGGUGGGACGAAUCAACGAAGCUCCGGGAGGGAGAUCGGGUUGUUGAAAGCUGGUCGGAUGUGAGCAGAAGGAACCCAGGGUAUAGGAGGAAGUAGACCCUACACGGCACCGAAGGGAUUAGGCAAAAGGAAAAGAACGGGGAUGAUGGUGGCUUUCCCCUCAGUGAGUGGGCACUGGGAGAAGGGGAGGAGGUCCAUCAGGCCUAGGCAGUUGAAGAAGGUUAAGAACCUUUUGGGGAUGGAGGAGGUAUGAUGUAAAGUAGCCCACCCAGUCGAAGUCAUUUAGAUUGCUGGCACAUUCCCUCUUCUUACCCGCCUUUUCCACCUCAGGACCCCUUGUCCUGCCCAUCCUAGCUUUAACUCAGCCAUAAUUGCCUUACUUAAUCCCAGGAACCUGGCCAUUGCUCCUGGGUCUUUGGCAUUAUGACGGGAAUCCCUUGUCACCUCUGACAGUUCCUGGCUGCAGUGUCCGUGGACUGGCUGAGGAGUGAUGACAGGUAGCCGUCAGAGCUCCAGCCUCCAGGCAGCUUUAGGGAUUAAAAUGGAGGCCAACUCCAGAUCUGUUCUUAUAGCCAAAUACUGAGGUGCCUAAGGAGUUGGUACACUCAGGGGCUUCCAGGAAAAUGCCAGCCUUACUUUUCUGGGGAGCCUUUUAAUAACCUCCAAGCAUUUUAUGGACUGUUUGUCGAGGGACAGUGAAUCAGGAGAAUCACUAUUCCGAUUUCUUUUGCCUCUGAAGAGGAAGUCCCUGACUAGCUAUAUAACUUUGGGCAAGUUACUUCAUCUCUUUGUGCCCCAGUUUUUUCCUUGGGAAAUUGAAUUUAGGUUAGAUGAUCUUUGAAGGCCCCCUGUAUGCUAUGUUGUGAUCUGUACAUGGCAGAGAAUAGAUUAGACGCCCCAUUUUCCAACCUAGUGCUAUGGUUCAGAACACAGAGCACCCCAAGCGUUUGGUUGAAGUCGAGGAUGGGUCCUCUGGUUUUUGACACAGAUGUUUGAGAGUCCAGGAAGCAUCCCAUAACCAACCUGCAGCCUCACCUCACCCCAGCAUAUUCCAGAGCCCCUUCCAAACCACAGCUCAUCCUCUGCUCCAUUUUGCUCUGGCCCUCACAGACUUCUAGCCUCCAUGAUCUGAGACAACUAUGUUUAGGUACAUCUCUGUUGGUGAAAAUGAUGCUUGAGAACCCCAAAGAUUAAAGGAAAUAAUGUCAAGGUCUUUUGUGGGGAUAAAAGAUAAUGGGUAUAUGGAAUAGAAACAUUUCAAAUGAAUCAAAGCAUUUCAGUCAAUCCACUUGGUUGUUAAAAAAAAAAAAAGGCCAGGCACAGUGGCUCACACAUGUAAUCCCAGCACUUUGGGAGACUGAGGCGGGCAAAUCGCCCAAGGUUGGGAGUUCCAGACCAGCUUGACCAACAUGGAGAAACUCUGUCUCUAUUAAAAAUACAAAACAAUUAGCCAGGCACGGUGGCACAUGCCUGUAAUCCCAGCUACUUGGGAGGCUGAGGCAGGAGAAUCACUUGAACCCAGGAGGCAGAGGUUGCAGUGAGCCAAGAUUGCACCAUUGCACUCCAGACUGGGCAACAAAAGUGAAACUGUCUCAAAAAAAAAGCAUCAAAGCAACUUGAUAGUAAAUGGUACCAAAAGAUGGUCUGCUCCAUAACCAGAGCAAGUGCAGUGGGAAAGCUGGACUCUCAUACCCACUCACAUUCAUGCCUUAUACCUCUCCUCCUGGCUAACCUUAACAAGGGAGUGAUUCCUCUCCUCAUUGCUGUUUUUCCUUUUCUCUUACCCUAUUCCUAACCUCUUUGCUUUUCUCUUUCUUUCCUUGUCUCUCUCCCUUCUCAUCACUUUUUUUCUUUUAACAUAUAGGGCAUUUACCUUACUUUUGUCUAUUUCCAUUUGUUUCCGUCUUCAUUCUUGUUCAUCUCUGCUAUUCCUUCUCCCGCCAGAAGGGAUGGAAACCCUAUUUGCUUUUCUCCAAGACCGUGGUUGGUCUACUUUCCUCACUCAGGCUCCUUGACAGUCUUCUAGAAGAGAGAAGAAGGAAAAGAAGCAGUUCCUGAUGUUACAAAUGAACGAGGAUCUCCCAGUCUUAGCCUUUGAGAAAAGAUGGCUGAAAGAGAGGAGUCCCCAGGUCAUUCCUCAAACAAAUCUCCAUCUAAACAUCAUCUUUAUCUUGUGAAGAAAACAAGAAGAAUUUCAUGUACCAUGUGAAUCACCUUCAGUUCAAAGUUGCGCAAAAUGAAGAAACCACUGGAAGCCACCAAGCAAUGCACUGUUGAGUCAUCAAUUAGGAGCCCACAGGAGGAUAAUAGAGAGGGAGACUGGGUGGAGGCUCAGUGUGGAGUCAUCUCUUGUCUAAUGUAUGUGUGUCACUGCCAUGUUGUAUUAAUAAUGAGAGCUCACAUUUACUUAGCACUUCUGUGCCUAAAUCUGGGUUUUUCUUUCCAGAACAAUGACUUGAUCAUACAAUCUGUUUUGUUUGUAUGCAUGUCCAAAACCACCCUAUGAGUAGAAUAUUAUCAUUAUCUCUGAUUUAGAGAUGAGGAAAAAGGCUCAGGGAAGCUCAGUAAUUUGUUCAAGAUUGCACAGCUAGUUAAAUGGCAGAAGUAGGAUUGUGAACCCAGGAAAUCUCCAGAGCUUCUGUGUAACCAUGAUAUUAUAUAUUUUUCCUAUUUAAAAGCAAUAUUGAAAACCUU